AAAGUAAAACCGCAAAAGGCUCAUUAAAUUAGUUAUAGUUUACUAGAGUAAAUUUUCUAAAUGGAUAACUGUGGUAAUUCUAGAGCUAAUACAUGCAAUUCAGUCUUAACCAGAAAUGGUUAUAGACGCUUUUAUUAGAUCAAAACCAAUCGAACAGUUUAUCUGUUCGUUUUUUUGAUGACUCUGAAUAACACCGCAGAUCGCACAGUCCUAGUACUGGCGACAUAUCUUUCAAAUGCCUAACUUAUCAACUGUCGAUGGUAGAUUAUAUGUCUACCAUGGUUAUAACGGGUAACGGGGAAUCAGGGUUCGAUUCCGGAGAGGGAGCCUGAGAAACGGCUACCACAUCCAAGGAAGGCAGCAGGCACGCAAAUUACCCACUCCCGGCACGGGGAGGUAGUGACAAAAAAUAACGAUACGGGACUCAUCCGAGGCCCCGUAAUCGGAAUGCGUACACUUUAAAUCCUUUAACAAGGAUCUAUUGGAGGGCAAGUCUGGUGCCAGCAGCCGCGGUAAUUCCAGCUCCAAUAGCGUAUAUUAAAGUUGUUGCGGUUAAAAAGCUCGUAGUUGGUUCUGUGUGCCAUGCUGUUGGUUCACCGCCUGUCGGUGCAACUGACAUGUCAUGGGACGUCCUGUCGGUGGUAAUUGAAGCCUCACUGUUUAGAAAAGGCUUGCCUCUACUAAACGUGGGUAACUUCAAUUACCGAUUAAUUCCCGCCGCGGUGCUCUUUGCUGAGUGUCGAGGUGGGCCGACACGUUUACUUUGAACAAAUUAGAGUGCUCAAAGCAGCAAAAGUCUGCCUGAAUAGUAGUGCAUGGAAUAAUAGAAUAAGAUCUUGGUUCUAUUUUGUUGGUUUUCUGAAUCCAAAGUAAUGAUCAAUAUGGACAGGCGCAGGCGGGGGCAUUUAUUGCGACGUUAGAGGUGAAAUUCUUGGAUCGUCGCAAGACGAACUAGAGCGAAAGCAUUUGCCAAGUAUGUCUUAAUUGAUCAAGAACGAAAGUUAGAGGUUCGAAGGCGAUCAGAUACCGCCCUAGUUCUAACCAUAAACGAUGUCAGCCAGCGAUCCGUCGAUGUUUUUUUCAUGACUCGACGGGCAGCUUCCGGGAAACCAAAGCUUUUGGGUUCCGGGGGAAGUAUGGUUGCAAAGCUGAAACUUAAAGGAAUUGACGGAAGGGCACCACAAGAAGUGGAGCCUGCGGCUUAAUUUGACU
rnacentral:rRNA from 1 species